rnacentral:tRNA from 1 species
GAGACAUUAGUAAAAUAUGAACAUUACAUCACCUUGUCAAGGUGUAAUUGUUGGUUAAAUCCCAGCAUGUCUUA